rnacentral:lncRNA from 1 species
UGUUUAUGAUUAGGUUUAUGUUAGGUUGAUGUUAUGCUAAUAUAGAUUUCCGAUGAAUCAUACUUCGGGGUAUUUGUUAUAACAUUUUUCUUGCAAAAUCUGGAUUUUUUUUGUUUUGUUAAUUGUGCCAAAAUAUUUUCCAUGGCUUUUGCUUUUUGGUUUUCAGCUAAAAAUAACUUAAAAGUUAGAAAAAAAUAUUUUUUUAGAAGUGAGACAUUUGAUGAUUUUCAAUUUCUGUUUUGAAUAAUAGAAUUUUGAUAUAAAUUCAAGUGGUCAAUUUCAACCGUCACCACGUAAUAGCGUAUGCAGUAAAAUUAAACGGUGAUAAGAAUCAGUAAUAAAUAGAAAAAUUGUCUUCUUAUUAAUUGGGUUUGAAAAGAAGGGAGACAAUGAAAAACUAGGAAGUUGUAGGGUGAGAAAACUUUAGUAGCUUUAUUGCAAACGCGGUUUGAAGAAGAAUAGACAUGUGUGAACACAAUGCGAAUGAGCACAAAAAAGGCUCAAGCACUUUGAGUUGGGUAGUUGCCCAAAACAUGCCAAAAUGUUGCGUUGUCAUAUUGGAUCUUGAGUUGUGUUGGCAACAAAAAGAGCCCCAUGGGAAAGGAUAGGUAUAAAGUCUUCUAGAAUCUUAAAUUGUGUGAAUGUGGGAUGAAAGACUGUACAAUAAAUUCCAAAUUUUAUCAUUUUUUAGCUUUCAUUAGUUGAUGUUUAUGAUUAGGUUUAUGUUAGGUUGAUGUUAUGCUAAUAUAGAUUUCGAUGAAUAAUACUUCGGGGUAUUUGUUAUGAACAUUUUCUUGCAAAAUUGGAUUUUUUUGUUUUGUUAAUUGUGCAAAAAUUUUUCAUGGCUUUUGCCUUUUUGGUUUUCAGCUAAAAUAACUUAAAAGUUAGAAAAAAAAUAUUUUUUAGAGUGAGACAUUUGAUGAUUUCAAUUUCUGUUUUGAAUAUAGAAAUUUUGAUUGUAAAUUCAAGUGGCAAUUUUCAAAAGUCACCCACUACGUAAUAGCGUAGCAGUAAAUUAAACGGUGAUAAGAAUCAGUAGUAAAUAAAUAGAAAGUGUAUCUUAAAUGGGUUUGAAAAGAAGGGGACAUGAAACUAGAAGUUUGUAGGAGUGAGAAAAUUUAGUAGCUUUAUUGAGCAAACGCGGUUUGAAGAAGAAUAGAAUGUGUGCACACAAUGCAAAUUGAGCACAAAAAAGGCUCAAGCACUUUGAGUUGGGUAGUUGCCCAAAACAUGCCAAAAUGAUGCGUUGUCACUAUUGGACUCUUGAGUUGUGUUUGGCAACAAAAAGAGCCAAUGGGAAAGGAUAGGUAAAGUCUUCUAGAAUCUUAACUUGUGUGAAUGUGGGCAUUGAAGACUGUACAAUAAUUUCAAAUUUUAUCACUUUUUUAUGCCUUCAUCUAGUUUGAUGUUUAUGAUUAGGUUUAUGUUAGGUUGAUGUUAUGCUAAUAUAGAUUUUCGAUGAAUCAUACUUCGGGGUAUUUGUUACAGCAUUUUUCUUGCAAUAUCUGGAUUUUUUUUUGUUUUGUUAAUUGUGCCAGAAUAUUUUCACGGCCUUUGCUUUUAAGUUUUCAGCUAAAAAUAACUUAAAAGUUAGAAAAAAUAUUUUUUUAGAAUGAGACAUUAGAUGAUUUUCAAUUUCUGUUUUGAAUGAUAGAAUUUUGAUAUAAAUUCAAGUGGUCAAUUUCAAGCGGCACCACGUAAUAGCGAUAUGCAGUAAAAUUAAAAGGUGAUAAGAAUCAGUAAUAAAUAGAAAUUGUAUUCUUAUAAUUGGGUUUGAAAAGAAGGGAGACAAUGAAAACUAGAAGUUUGUAGGAGUGAGAAAAUUUAGUAGCUUUAUUGGGCAAACGCGGUUUGAAGAAGAAUAGAAUGUGUGCACACAAUGCAAAUUGAGCACAAAAAAGGCUAGAGUGUCAAGCGCUUUGAGUUGGGUAAAGAGUGUGGACUCACUUUGCAAGUUGCCCAAAACAUGCCAAAAUGAUGCGUUGUCACUCUUGGACUCUUGAGUUGUGCUUGGCAACAAAAAGAGCCAAUGGGAAAGGAUAGGUAAAAGAGUCUUUCUGAAAUUAACUUGUGGUACAGUUAGUUUGUGAAAUGUGGGCAUUGAAAGACUGUACAAUAAUUUCAAAUUUUUCACUUUUUUUAUGCCUUCAAUCAUAGUUUGAUGUUUAUGAUUAGGGGGGGGGGGGUUUAUGUUAGGUUGAAUGUUAUGCUAAUAAUUUUGUUAAGGAUUUUCGAUGAAUUCAUACUUCGGGGGAUUUGGUACGGCAUUUUUCUUGCAAUAUCUGGAUAUUUUUUUUGUUUGUUUAAUUGACGCGCAGAAUAUUUCCAUGGCCUUUGUUUUAAGAGUUUUCAGCUAAAAAUAACUUAAAAGUUAGAGAAAAAAUAUUUUUAGCAAGUGAGAACAUUUGGAUGAUUUUCAAUUUCUUUUUGAAUAAUAGAAGUUUUGAUUAUUAUAAUUCAAGUGGUCAUUUCAACCGUAACCACGUAAUAGCGUAUGCAG